rnacentral:rRNA from 1 species
UACACGACCGUACCGCAAACCGACACUGGUGCGCGAGAUGAGUAUUCUAAGGCGCUUGAGAGAACUCAGGAGAAGGAACUCGGCAAAUUGGCACCGUAACUUCGGAAGAAGGUGUGCCUUUAGUAGGUGAACCAUUUACUUGGGGAGCCCAAUGAGGCUGCAAAAAAUCGGUGGCUGCAACUGUUUAUUAAAAACACAGCACUCUGCUAAGACGAAAGUCGACGUAUAGGGUGUGACGCCUGCCCGGUGCUGGAAGAUUAAAUGAUGGGGUGCAAGCUCUUGAUUGAAGUCCCAGUAAACGGCGGCCGUAACGAUAACGGUCCUAAGGUAGCGAAAUUCCUUGUCGGGUAAGUUCCGACCUGCACGAAUGGCGUAAUGAUGGCCACACUGUCUCCUCCUGAGACUCAGCGAAGUUGAAAUGUUUGUGAUGAUGCAAUCUCCCCGCGGAAAGACGGAAAGACCCCAUGAACCUUUACUGUAGCUUUGUAUUGGACUUUGAACAGAUCUGUGUAGGAUAGGUGGGAGGCUUUGAAGUGUGGUCGCUAGAUCGCAUGGAGCCAACGUUGAAAUACCACCCUGGUGUGUUUGAGGUUCUAACCUAGGUCCAUUAUCUGGAUCGGGGACAGUGCAUGGUAGGCAGUUUGACUGGGGCGGUCUCCUCCCAAAGUGUAACGGAGGAGUUCGAAGGUACGCUAGGUACGGUCGGACAUCGUGCUAAUAGUGCAAUGGCAUAAGCGUGCUUAACUGCGAGACUGACAAGUCGAGCAGAUGCGAAAGCAGGACAUAGUGAUCCGGUGGUUCUGUAUGGAAGGGCCAUCGCUCAACGGAUAAAAGGUACUCUGGGGAUAACAGGCUGGUACCGCCCAAGAGUUCAUAUCGACGGCGGUGUUUGGCACCUCGAUGUCGGCUCAUCUCAUCCUGGGGCUGUAGCCGGUCCCAAGGGUAUGGCUGUUCGCCAUUUAAAGAGGUACGUGAGCUGGGUUUAAAACGUCGUGAGACAGUUUGGUCCCUAUCUUCCGUGGGCGCUGCAGAUUUGAGGAAGCCUGCUCCUAGUACGAGAGGACCGGAGUGGACGAACCUCUGGUGUAUCGGUUGUCACGCCAGUGGCAUUGCCGAGUAGCUAAGUUCGGAAGAGAUAACCGCUGAAAGCAUCUAAGCGGGAAACUCGUUUCAAGAUUAGAUCUGCCGGGGCCUUGAGCCCCCUAAAGAGUCGUUCAAGACCAGGACGUUGAUAGGUCAGGUGUGGA